rnacentral:sRNA from 1 species
UAUCUCUCCGUACGGGGAAGGAUGAGAAGCUUCGACUAAGGUUCGAUUCGAGCGCAGCGAGAAAGCGUUGCCGCAGGCAACGACCCGAAGGGCGAAGCGCGCAGCGCUGA